rnacentral:rRNA from 1 species
GUGGGGAAUAUUGCACAAUGGGCGAAAGCCUGAUGCAGCGACGCCGCGUGAGCGAAGAAGUAUUUCGGUAUGUAAAGCUCUAUCAGCAGGGAAGAUAAUGACGGUACCUGUCUAAGAAGCACCGGCUAAAUACGUGCCAGCAGCCGCGGUAAUACGUAUGGUGCAAGCGUUAUCCGGAUUUACUGGGUGUACAGGGAGCGCAGGCGGUGCGGCAAGUCUGAUGUGAAAGCCCGGGGCUCAACCCCGGUACUGCAUUGGAAACUGUCGUACUAGAGUGUCGGAGGGGUAAGUGGAAUUCCUAGUGUAGCGGUGAAAUGCGUAGAUAUUAGGAGGAACACCAGUGGCGAAGGCGGCUUACUGGACGAUGACUGACGUUGAGGCUCGAAAGCGUGGGGAGCAAACAGGUUUAGAAACCCGAGUAGUCC